rnacentral:rRNA from 1 species
CCUACGGGAGGCAGCAGUGGGGAAUUUUGGACAAUGGGCGCAAGCCUGAUCCAGCCAUUCCGCGUGCAGGACGAAGGCCUUCGGGUUGUAAACUGCUUUUGUACGGAACGAAAAGGCUCUGGUUAAUACCUGGGGCUCAUGACGGUACCGUAAGAAUAAGCACCGGCUAACUACGUGCCAGCAGCCGCGGUAAU